GUGGGGAAUUUUGGACAAUGGGCGCAAGCCUGAUCCAGCAAUGCCGCGUGCAGGAAGAAGGUUUUCGGAUCGUAAACUUCUAUCCUUGGUGAAGAUAAUGACGGUAGCCAAGAAGGAAGCCCCGGCUAACUACGUGCCAGCAGCCGCGGUAAUACGUAGGGGGCAAGCGUUGUCCGGAAUGAUUGGGCGUAAAGGGCGCGUAGGCGGCCCGGUAAGUCUGAAGUGAAAGUCCUGCUUUUAAGGUGGGAAUUGCUUUGGAUACUGUCGGGCUUGAGUGCAGGAGAGGUAAGCGGAAUUCCCGGUGUGGCGGUGAAAUGCGUAGAGAUCGGGAGGAACACCAGUGGCGAAGGCGGCUUACUGGACUGUAACUGACGCUGAGGCGCGAAAGUGUGGGGAGCAAACAGGAUUAGAAACCCGUGUAGUCC
rnacentral:rRNA from 1 species